UACGGGGGGGAGCAAGCGUUGUUCGGAUUUACUGGGCGUAAAGGGCGCGUAGGCGGCCACCGCAAGUCGACUGUGAAAUCUCCGGGCUUACCCGGAAAGGUCAGCCGAUACUGCGGGGCUAGAGUGCAGAAGGGGCAACUGGGAAUUCUCGGUGUAGCGGUGAAAUGCGUAGAUAUCGAGAGGAACACCUGCGGCGAAGGCGGGUUGCUGGGCUGACACUGACGCUGAGGCGCGAAAGCUAGGGGAGCGAACGGG
rnacentral:rRNA from 1 species